UACGUAGGGUGCAAGCGUUAAUCGGAAUUACUGGGCGUAAAGCGUGCGCAGGCGGCUAUGCAAGUCAGAUGUGAAAUCCCCGGGCUUAACCUGGGAACUGCAUUUGUGACUGCAUGGCUGGAGUGCGGCAGAGGGGGAUGGAAUUCCGCGUGUAGCAGUGAAAUGCGUAGAUAUGCGGAGGAACACCGAUGGCGAAGGCAAUCCCCUGGGCCUGCACUGACGCUCAUGCACGAAAGCGUGGGGAGCAAACAGG
rnacentral:rRNA from 1 species